rnacentral:miRNA from 1 species
UGUGGCAUUCUCACGCACUCCAAAAAACAGCCACUUAAAAUUCAAAAGAUUUAUUCCAAAAAAGGAAAUUUAAAUUUUAAGUGGCUGUUUUUUGGAGUGCAUGCAAACGCCAA